UAACCAUGACCUGACCCUAUUCGUACGGGGUUAGUAUCAUCUGGGGACCUCGUGUGAUUUAGAAAUCUCCCCCUCCACAUCUGAGUUUCGUGUGGCGCACUCGCAAAGGAUAAGCAAAGCACGCUUUUACACAAAUGUAAUGACAUAUCUGUACCCAGAGAGUUGAACACCCGGUGGAGCGCGGAA